UACAGAGGUCUCAAGCGUUGUUCGGAUUCAUUGGGCGUAAAGGGUGCGUAGGUGGCGCCGUAAGUCGGGUGUGAAAUUUCGGAGCUUAACUCCGAAACUGCAUUCGAUACUGCGGUGCUUGAGGACUGGAGAGGAGACUGGAAUUCAUGGUGUAGCAGUGAAAUGCGUAGAGAUCAUGAGGAAGACCAGUGGCGAAGGCGGGUCUCUGGACAGUUCCUGACACUGAGGCACGAAGGCCAGGAGAGCAAACGGG
rnacentral:rRNA from 1 species